CCUGAUGCAGCCAUGCCGCGUGUAUGAAGAAGGCCUUCGGGUUGUAAAGUACUUUCAGUUGUGAGGAAGGGGGUAGCGUUAAUAGCGCUAUCUCUUGACGUUAGCAACAGAAGAAGCACCGGCUAACUCCGUGCCAGCAGCCGCGGUAAUACGGAGGGUGCGAGCGUUAAUCGGAAUUACUGGGCGUAAAGCGCAUGCAGGUGGUUCAUUAAGUCAGAUGUGAAAGCCCGGGGCUCAACCUCGGAACUGCAUUUGAAACUGGUGAACUAGAGUACUGUAGAGGGGGGUAGAAUUUCAGGUGUAGCGGUGAAAUGCGUAGAGAUCUGAAGGAAUACCAGUGGCGAAGGCGGCCCCCUGGACAGAUACUGACACUCAGAUGCGAAAGCGUGGGGAGCAAACAGGAUUAGAUACCCUGGUAGUCCACGCCGUAAACGAUGUCUACUUGGAGGUUGUGGCCUUGAGCCGUGGCUUUCGGAGCUAACGCGUUAAGUAGACCGCCUGGGGA
rnacentral:rRNA from 2 species